CUUGACAUAAUAAACAUAGGGGGUCCUGCCUGCCCAGUGACUGAAAAGUUAAACGGCCGCGGUAUCUUGACCGUGCGAAGGUAGCAUAAUCAUUUGUCUCCUAAAUAGAGACUGGUAUGAAUGGCAAGACGGAGCUCCACUGUCUCCUCCUCUUUAAUCUGAACUUCACAUUCCCGUGAAGAGGCGGGAAUUAGUUCGUAAGACGAGAAGACCCUGUCGAGCUGUAGUUAAACUUUAAUUGUUACUCACCCUUAGGCCUAACUAAUAAUAUUAAAAAUAGUAGACCUUAAGGUAUAGCAAGUUAAAACAAGCUUUGAUUGGGGCAAUCCCGGAGAAAGAAAAUCCUCCGUUACUAUAUGGUUAUAUUUAAUCUAAAAUAAAAGAAUUAUUAUUCUUAAAGCAUAAAAAUGAAGACGUGAUCCACUUACAGUGAUCAAAAGAACAAG
rnacentral:rRNA from 1 species